UCCCUCCUCGGGCCUCUUCAAUAACUAAAUCUUCCCCGCACUUUCGAUAUCGGAUGAAAGCAUUUGUGACAUUUUGUCAAAACAAAUAAAGCAUCGAGAGUCAGACGAUACUGUCAUCUUCCGUGCAGUACAAACCGCAGACAUCCCAAAAUACCCAAUAAGAAAAAUCAAAUCAGACGAAAAAUGAUUUCUGGAGACGGAAUUGGAAUUCAAUUGAUCCUUGGUUGGAUUUCCUAAAAUUUAGGACGGUAAAUUUCCUUUCUUACAAGAAAGAAAUAUCAAAAUUCUUUUUUUUUUUUCCGGAAAACCCUAGUUUGUGAUUGUGUGUAUAAAUUCAACCUCAACCGAUGCAUACGAAAUCAAUUACAGCGAUGGCAACAGAUGGUGAUACUCCGAAUUGGUCGGAACUUGUCACAGACAUCUGGUCAUUGGUUUUCAAGCACUUGAGCUUUACAGAUUUUGCUCGAGCUAAGACCGUUUGUUCGUCGUGGUACUUUGCUUCCAAAUCAUCCUCACCUAGAAAAAACCAUACUCCGUGGCUGAUUCUCUACGAAGACACGCACUGGCUCAUGUUUAAUUCGGAAGAAGAAAAGUUUUACAGAACACAAAACCUAGGUCGCUUUGCCGAGUGUCGUGGCGUGGCGAGUUGUGGGAGUUGGGUCUUGGUCUUUGACAAGGAAAUAAAUUUCUACAUCAUUAAUCCCUUCACGCCAGAGCUCAUUCGUCUCCCACCUCUUGAAUAUUCAAACAGCGGCACAAAGUUCGAGAGACCCGGUAACUAUAUUUUCCACCUACUCUUCGACGAUUUCAGAAUAAACAGUGUAGUAGUGGGGAAUUCGGUUCUGUGGGUAGACGAAAAAACCAAAGACUACUUAGUUGUGUGGUCGUACAAAGAGGCAUGUCAUCCGGGUGCCUACAUAUAUUAUUGCAGGAAAAGAGAGCAAGAGUGGUUUGAGAUUCCGGCAAGCACUUGUGGGAAGCUAUUCGGGUGUUUGGAUAUGGCCUACAAAGACGAGAAGCUUUACAUACAUACUUACAAUGGUAGCAUCAGAAUCUUGGACUUUUCUCUUGGAGACUUGCCUAGACAAAUCGACAAUCAUCCAUACUCCCAUCGACCGUUUGUUACCGAGUUUCCUAAUCGUAGGAGGGGAAUGAGACUAACCACGUCUGGAGAUGUUGUGAUGAUCCAAUGGGUGACAGUCACUCACAAAAGAAUCCCGUUCCAAAUCUACAAGAUGAGUAGCAAAAGAGAGACGAAGGAGUCGUUUCGGGUGCAAGGGUUGGGCGACGACGACGAUGCUGCGGACUGGGAGAGAGUGCAUUCUUUCGAGGACGAGGAGUCGUUGGUUUGGGAUUUGAGCGUCACUUUGCCAACCAAAGGCGUAUCCGGUAUCAAGAAAGAUUCCAUAUAUUACUGUCACACUUCUAAUUCAUCUAUUCGGGAAGUUGCUACCUAUGAAUUUCCUACGCACAAGAUCUCUGCGUAUGAGAUUCCUAAGCAGGCUAUCAAACCUAUUCGACACCGCGGCAUCUUGAUUGGAGAGGCUCGUUGGUUUGUUCCUUGUUUUGGUGCAGGUGAAUAAUCCCGCACUAGAUUACUCUCUCUCCCCCAGUCCCCCUCUCUCUCUCUCUCUCUUAGGAGUUAGAAGAUCGGGUCACUAUACUGUCUUCAUAUGGUAAAGACCAUUAACGAGCCACCGAUGUGGAGAUUCAAAUCUUGAUAUGAGCGAUGCAGGGUUUUAUUUAGCCACAUUUUACUUUAUUUUCUUAGUUUUGGAAUCCUCUAUGGCUUUACUUUGGCCAUAUUUGUAGACUUUGACAAAACAAUGUUUUUCUGAUUUCCAUAUUUAAUAAAUGCAUUCUUUGUUGAGAAAAAA